rnacentral:lncRNA from 1 species
UAAUACGCCGCAUGCAAGCAAGGAAGAAAUGGGAGGGAAGUAGUUGAGUGUCAUUAUGACUACAUGCAUGCAAGUAUUAAAUAAGUUACUAGUAUGAGGAAACAUCAUUAACUUUUGCCUCGUUUAGUGUUAGUGGCCUUGUAUAUAUGCAAAAUGUAUUUUUCAUUGUGGCCUUGUAUAAGGGAAUGGAGGAAGUAUUUCAUAUGGAAUUUUUUAGGUAUAUUUAAAAUUGUUAGAUGAGAUCGGUAUUGAUAUUGUUAGAUGAGAUCGGUAUUGGUAUCAUUGAUAACUUGCAUCUAUGAAUUAUAGAAGAAAAAUAAAGGUAUCGUAUGGAAGGUACUCCAUUUGCGAUGAAUACUGGUUUUGGAAGCAUACAAAUGUUUAAUAAUAUCAUUCUCUAUAUAUGUUUUAUAUAGAGAGAUUAUGAUUUUGAGAAUUAUACUAGGGCCCCACUUUAUAGUCUCACCCAGGGCCCCGGAAAUCUCAGGACCGGCCCUGGUUGCAUUGGCUAGUGCAUUAAGCUUAACAUGUUAUCAGGGCUUAAAGUCCUGAAUUCAAGUCCUAGCUUCGCAAAUUAUGAUAAAUUGUUGUUGCCCCCUCUGUGUCCAUGGAUAGGCCUCGUGAGCCAUACCUCUGAGUCUAUUCACGUGUUGACUUCCCGCAUCACACGUGAGGAGUGUUGAAGUGUAUAUGUGGAUUGCCCGGCCCUUUCCAUUAGUUCGUAAUUUGGUUGUGUUGGUUAGUGCAUGAAGCUUAACAAAAACAACCUCUUUCAGAAAUGUAGGGAAAGGCUAGACCCGAAGUGGUCGGACCUUUCCCUGGCCCUGCACAAGCGGGACCUACGUGCACCGGGCUGUGUGUGUUCUAUGUAUCUGCUAAAUUCUACUGGAUAAUAUGUUAAUUUGUAUUCUAUGAAAAAAGACAAGUCUAUGCCUCUAAAACGGCAAAAAGUAACACUAUUUUGAUCCAUGUAUUUGUCUUUUUGUCUAAACCACAGAUAAAACUAUAUAUUUAUGAAAAUUCCUAUAUACACACUAUAUGUAGUGUACAAAAAUAUUGCUUUUGCUUUAAGAGAAAUCAAAGGGUCAGCUAGUUAACAACCUGGAAAACUGAACCUAAAUACAUCGGUUUAUUAGGUCCGGUGCUUCAGCUUUGUAGAAGACAAUAGGUGGUUUAUCUAUUGCAAUUUAUUGGAAAAAAUGAAUGUGUACGGUGUUGGAGCACGCCCACACAAGCCGUUGCACCCACGUAGCUCUCUCCCUCAACUCUCUCUCUCUGUAACCAAUUCUCCUGGUCAUAUGCGUCCUUAUCGCAUGCACUAGCUUAGUGGAGUUAGUUGCGGCAGUAGUUGAGGUAGUGGCUGCACCUGCGUGUGCUUGUACUGGUAUAUAUGUAAUAUCUCCAUUGAUUGAAUACCGUGUGAUUCCAAUCACCUCUGUGAUCUUCCUCCUUUCAUGGUAUCAGAUACCGUCUUCUUCCUCAUCGCUUCCGCUCACUCCCUGUAAUGGACAUCUUCUCCGAUCAGAACUCCUCCCACUCCUCGAACCCUUUCGCCGACGAUGCCGCACCCUACAUCCACCCCCAGUUCUCCACCAUCCUUAAUCUGAACCCCAACCUAUAUGUCCCUGUGCGCCUCCAGCAGGACCCACCCAACUUCACCACGUGGAACUCCUUCUUCAACGCCCUCCUUCGCUCCUACGCGCUCAUGGACCACGUUGACGGCUCCAUCGACGCACGCCGCCGCCGCUCCGACUCCUGCUGGACCCAGAUCGACUGGAGCAUUGUCCGGUGGCUGUAUCUCACUGUCUCCGAGGAGAUCAUGGCGACCAUCCAGCAUGACGAUGAGACGGCGCGUUCCCUAUGGACGGCGAUCCGGUCUCUUUUCCUCGACAACCGCGCUCAACGCGGCUGCCUGGCGCUCGAGGCCUUCCACACACUCCGGCAAGGGCAUCUCUCCAUCGGCGAAUACUGCACCCGCCUCAAGGUUUUGGCGGACACUCUCCGAGACUGCGCCAUGCCCGUGGACGACCGUGGCAUGGUCUCCAAUCUGGUACUUGGGAUCAGCAACAAAUUCGCUCAUGCCGUCUCGCAGAUGACGUACGAUGACUCGAAGCUUCCCACGUUCAUCCAAGUGCGCACAUAUCUGCUGCGUGAGGAGCGCCGCAUCGACAACGCCGCUGCCUCCGAGUCCGCCACCGCCCUGUUCGCCGGCGGAGCCCCGGCACCCUCUCCACCGGCUCCUGCUCCGCAGCCGGCUCCUACGCCCGCCCAGCCGAGCGUGCCCAGCCCUGGCGGCUCUCGUCAACGGAAACGCUCNNNNNNNNNNNNNNNNNNNNNNNNNNNNNNNNNNNNNNNNNNNNNNNNNNNNNNNNNNNNNNNNNNNNNNNNNNNNNNNNNCUCCACUGGCGCUCCCGUGGCGCCCCCGCCCACAGCGCCUGCCUUCGGCGGCUACGGCGGCUACAACCCCUGGACUGGGGUCGUCCAGGCCUGGCCGGUGCCGUUUCGUCCGCUCCCUCGCCCGCCGGGAGCUGGCGUACUGGGCCCUCACCCUACGGUGGCCCAGGGCAUGCUCGCAUCCACGUACGGUGCCCCGCCUGCUCCUUCGCCAGUCCAGGCGCCGGCCACGCCGGGCAAUCCUUGGGACUACGCUGCCCUCCACGCCGCGCUGAAUCAGCUGUCCCAACAGCCCUACACCGGCGGCGGCGAUUGGUUUCUUGACACUGGCGCCACCUCCCACAUGACGGCCAGUCCCGGUAUGCUUCAAUCUUCCUCCCCCGUUCAUCUCUCCCUAGCAUCACAGUCGGUAAUGGUGCUUCUCUUCCCGUGUCCUUUACUGGUUCGACCUCCAUCCCUACCUCCUCCCAACCCCUUCAUCUCUCCAAUGUUUUAGUUUCCGAUCAACUCAUUACAAAUCUUAUUUCUGUCCGUGCACUUACCCGUGAUAAUUUUGUGUCCGUGGAAUUUGAUCCUUUUGGUUUCUCUGUCAAGGAUCUCUUCACACGAACGGUACUUCUCCGAUGUAACAGCCACGGUGACCUCUACUCACUUCGUUCGAGCUCCAGCCGCGCCUCCCCGACCGUCCUUUGCGCCUCGUCGGCCUCCACUGAUCGCUGGCACCAGCGCCUUGGCCACCCGGGUCGAGCCGCGCUUUCCACUUUGCUUUCUUCUUCAGCUAUCCCCUGUAAUAAAACGCAAGCUCAUACUUGCCAUGCCUGCCAAAUAGGAAAAAAUGUUCGACUUCCUUUUUCUCCUUCCCCUCAUAUUGCUUCUGCUCCAUUUGAAUUAUUGCAUUGUGAUGUUUGGACCUCACCCGUUCUUAGUAACUCUGGCUUCAAUUAUUUUCUUGUUGUGCUUGAUGACCAUACACACUAUGCCUGGACCUUCCCAUUACGCAAGAAAUCUGAUGUAUAUGAGCUCCUCAUUACCCUCCACGCCUAUGUUGCUACUCAGUUCCAACGACCUGUUCGUGCUUUCCGUACUGACAAUGGCAAAGAGUUUGAUAACAAAGCUUUCCGCGCUUUUCUCGCCUCUAACAGCAUCGACUUUCAGCUGUCUUGUCCGUAUGCUUCUGCCCAAAAUGGCCGCGCCGAGCGAAUCAUCCGGACGCUCACCGAAGGCAUGCAUGCUCUUCUCUUUCACGCCUCCAUGCCACCACGGUUUUGGCCGGACGCUCUCGCCACUGCCACUUACCUGCUUAAUCGUCGGUCGUGUCGUCCCCGCCAACGAGUCACCCCGUUCGAGCUCCUCCACGGCGCCGCCCCAUCCCUCUCCCACUUGCGUGUUUUUGGGUGUUUGUGCUAUCCCAAUACCACCGCCACCGCGCCUCAUAAACUGGCUCCGCGCUCCGAUGCGUGUGUAUUUCUCGGAUACCCGCCUGAUCAUGCAGGUUACAAAUGCUUUGAUCCACUCUCCGGACGGGUCUUCCUCUCCAGGAGCGUCUUCUUCGACGAGCUCGUCUUCCCUUUUGCGCAGGUGGUCUCGCCGUCUCCACCACCCUCUUGCGUGCCGGCUCUCACGGGUGACCAGCCACAGCCCUCAUUGUCACCACCAGUGGCCCGGCAGCGCAUGGCUCCGCCCACGCCCACACCAGCCUCUUCACCACGGAUGGCUACCCCGACUUCUGCGUCUCGUCGGUCCACUGGGCCAUCAACCCCGGCCGCCUCGACCGCUCAUGCGGCUAGUUCGGGUGCCAGCGAACCACCUUGCUCUCCUCCGGCUGGUUCGGCUUCGCCCAUGAUGAGUUCGCCUACCCACCAGGCUCUUCUCCCACCUCAGCCGCAUCCGCAUCUGUCGCCGAUCCUGCCGGACCAUUUCCUGGUCACCCCAUGCGUACCCGGUCCAAGGCGGGCGUCCAUUGCCGCAACACGCGGUAUGAUGAUGACUACGUCCUCACUGCAGUCACCGCUCCCUCGCCGUUGCCAUCAUCUGUGCGGGUUGCCUUGCGUGACCCUCAUUGGAAAGCGGCCAUGCAAGAGGAGUAUGACGCACUCGUGGCCAACUGUACAUGACGCUUGGUGCCUCGUCCCCCCGGUGCGCAUGUGAUUACCGGCAAAUGGGUAUUUCGGCACAAACUUCGUCCUGAUGGUGCUCUCGAUCGUUACAAGGCCAGGUGGGUCGUUCGCGGGUUCUCUCAGCGCCCCGGUAUCGACUACACCGACACAUUCUCGCCCGUCGUCAAACCUGCCUCCAUCUGUCUCAUACUUCAGCUCGCAGCGUCGCGCUCAUGGCCAGUUCACCAGCUCGACGUGAAGAACGCGUUCCUUCACGGCGACCUCUCUGAGCACGUGUACUGUCAACAGCCUGCCGGCUUCAUCGACCCCUCGCACCCCACUGACGUGUGCCUGUUGUCCAAAUCACUUUACGGUUUGAAACAGGCUCCGCGCGCGUGGUUUCAGAAGUUCACCGGUUGUCUUCAGGACCUCGGCUUCGCCGCCACGCGAUCCGAUGCUUCUCUGUUUGUGCUUCACUGUGGCCGCGGCACCGCGUACCUCCUCCUUUAUGUCGACGACAUUAUACUGACGGCCUCGUCCACGACACUGCUGCAUCACAUCAUCGGGCGCCUCCACCACUCUGUUGCUCUCAAAGACUUGGGUCCUCUCAAGUUCUUUCUUGGCAUACAAGUGCAGCGCUCUUCACGUGGCUUCUUUCUUCAUCAAGGCCAGUACGCUGAAGAGUUGUUACAGCGCGCCGGCAUGACGAACUGUCGGCCUGCGCCCACUCCCGUUGACACAAAGCCAAAAGCUUCUGCCACGGAUGGUGCCUUGGUUGACGAUGCUUCCACCUAUCGGAGCAUAGCCGGGGCAUUGCAAUACCUCACGCUGACACGGCCCGACAUCACCUAUGCCGUUCAGCAGGUAUGCUUGCAUAUGCACGCGCCCCGCCAGCCACAUUGGACGAUGGUGAAGCGGAUCCUCCGCUAUGUUCGUGGGACGACUUCACACGGUCUCUCCAUCACCGCCUCUUCGCCGUCCGAGCUCGUCGUCUACACGGACGCCGAUUGGGCCGGCUGCCCCGACACGCGUCGGUCCACGUCGGGCUACUGCGUGUUCCUUGGCGGUUCGCUGCUCUCCUGGUCGUCCAAGCGACAACCUACAGUGUCUCGGUCCAGUGCGGAGGCCGAGUAUCGGGCCGUCGCCGAGUGCUGAUGGGUACGCCAACUUCUGCAUGAGCUUCACGUCAACCUCGCCAAGGCUACACUGGUGUACUGCGACAAUGUCUCCGCCGUCUACCUCGCACAAAAUCCAGUUCAUCAUCGGCGGAAAAACAUAUUGAACUUGACAUCCACUUUGUGCGGGAGAAGGUCGCCUUGGGUCACGUCCGCGUUCUGCACGUUCCGACAUCGCAACAGUUCGCCGACAUCAUGACGAAGGGCCUUCCCUUUGCCGCAUUUGAUGAGUUCAAGGCCAGUCUUUGCGUCUCCGAUGGCACCGCUGUGACUGAGGGGGGGUGUUGGAGCACGCCCACACAAGCCGUUGCACCCACGUAGCUCUCUCCCUCAACUCUCUCUCUCUCUGUAACCAAUUCUCCUGGUCAUAUGCGUCCUUAUCGCAUGCACUAGCUUAGUGGAGUUAGUUGCGGCAGUAGUUGAGUUAGUGGCUGCACCUGCGUGUGCUUGUACUGGUAUAUAUGUAAUAUCUCCAUUGAUUGAAUACCGUGCGAUUCCAAUCACCUCUGUGAUCUUCCUCCUUUCAUACGGAAAGGAAACAAUAAAGAAAAUUCCACAUUUUUGUUUGAGUAAUUAGGCUUCAACCCUGAAAAUCCAUAUUAUUUAUGUAACCGAAUUAACCAAUAAUAGGAAGUCCAAUUAACUGAAUGCCCAUUCCUACCAGAAACACCUGCCCCAAGUUAAAAAGCGUAAGCACUUGAUCGGAAUUCAAAAUAGUCAGUGCAUGAGACUCACGUGUUGCCAUCAUCACCGCAUUACUACUAGAGCUCAAUCUACCAACAAGCCAGCUCAUGCGAUUGCAUCACCAUUCUAGAUUCUGCCCCUCGAGCAUUAUUGCAUCCAAGUUGUUACACAAGACAAAAACGAGGAUACGGAGCGAGGCCGACUGACCUGGCGAGCGCUCGCGAGAGCUCGUCCGCCGGGACGAGUGCGUAGCUGCGGCUCCCUCCCGAGGUUGCGCUGGCGCGGCACUCCCCGCGGUCGAGGCGCAGCACGAGAUCUGGGUGGAGGAAGCUGUGGAGAAGCCUGAGGCCAUAAUAUGAGGGUGAGGCCGCCGGCGUGGCUGCGUAACGGACCCCGCCCUCCUCUGCCGCCUCCUCGCGCACCCCCGCCCACCACCUGUGCAGCAGCAGCAGGACAUUGUUACCCCUGCCCUGCUUAUGGGGUUUCAGCGAGGAGGUUGAGCGCGAGAGAACGAGCGUACCUGAAAGGGACGAGGCAGACGGCGGCGGGGCAGGAGGAGGAGGCAGAGGGGGCGUCGUAGGCGGCGGAGGUGGAGGCGGAGGCCGGGGCGGAGGCGGUGGCGGCGGUGGCCAUGACGAGAUGGGAUCUCUGAUCUGGGAUGCGUGCGCGAGUGAGCUGGUGGUGGUUUGCUCGCUCGGCAGCUGCUGCCU